GGGUCGCGGCGGAUGGCGCGAGCGGGGGGCCUCCGCCGAGGCGCCUCCGGUCAGCGAGGCCUCGCCCGGCGGGUCACGGAGACCCAGAGGUCCCGGUUUGCGUCCCUUAGGCGGCUAGGAGCGUGGAUGAUGCGGGGAGGCCAUUGGCUGGGGGGCGGGGAGUUAGGACACUCUCCCUAGCUUGGACCACUUGGGAUUUUUCUGGAUCUUAGGAAGCUCAUUUUUUUUUUUUUUUUAAAUUCCUGAAUCACGCUUCCUUGGCGUGUUGCGAUGAAUAAGUCUCCUUCAUUUUUUUUAUGUGAUUCAUAGCAUGUGUUUUAGGGGAGGAAAGGCGUGUGAUCGGUAGCUCAGCAUUUUCCUUGAAAUAUUCAUCCCAGUCAUUCUGUGGUGUUCAUUGAAAACUGUAAGUUGGUGCGCGCGGUAGGACGAGGCCUCGUAUUGUGGGGAUCCUUCGAGGGCCCUGCCCCAAAACAUCCAUCCUCAUGUGUAUUCACGCAAAUACUUAACCUAGCAGUUCACACGUUUGUGUCUAAAGGGGUGCCUAGCUGAAGGUCCAAGCCAUACACCCUUUGGACAACUGGUAGACAUUUGGAAAAGGGAAUAGGUAAGACCCUUGGCCUUGAGUUAGAAUGAUAAAUGGAAUUCUCAGGAUAGGAAAAAUACAUGGAGGCACGCAACAGCAUUGUUUGAACCCGAACGCCAGUACAGCGAAUCAUAAAAUGCCAAGAAAUCCCGGAGGGUCGCUUGUCAAGUUUUUAGAAGUUAUCAAACCUUUCUGUGCAGUUCUACCAGAAAUUCAGAAGCCUGAAAGGAAAAUUCAGUUUAGAGAGAAGGUACUAUGGACGGCUAUAACACUCUUCAUUUUCUUAGUCUGCUGUCAGAUUCCGCUGUUUGGGAUUAUGUCAUCGGAUUCUGCAGAUCCCUUCUACUGGAUGAGAGUUAUUCUUGCAUCCAACAGAGGAACAUUGAUGGAAUUGGGUAUUUCCCCAAUUGUAACAUCUGGUUUGAUUAUGCAGUUGUUAGCUGGAGCCAAAAUCAUUGAAGUUGGAGAUACACCCAAAGAUAGAGCUCUGUUCAAUGGAGCCCAGAAACUAUUUGGUAUGAUCAUUACCAUUGGGCAAGCCAUUGUGUAUGUCAUGACGGGGAUGUACGGGGACCCUGCGGAAAUGGGUGCUGGCAUCUGUCUCCUUAUCAUCAUACAGUUGUUUGUUGCUGGUUUGAUUGUGCUGCUGUUAGAUGAGCUGCUACAGAAGGGUUACGGCUUGGGGUCUGGUAUUUCCCUCUUUAUUGCCACCAACAUCUGUGAAACCAUUGUCUGGAAGGCCUUUAGUCCCACUACCAUUAACACUGGCAGAGGUACGGAGUUUGAGGGUGCAGUCAUAGCUCUAUUUCAUUUGUUGGCCACCAGGACAGACAAAGUCCGAGCCUUGAGGGAGGCCUUCUAUCGGCAGAACCUCCCCAAUCUCAUGAACCUCAUUGCCACAGUGUUCGUGUUUGCUGUUGUCAUAUAUUUCCAGGGGUUUCGUGUUGACUUGCCCAUUAAGUCGGCCCGGUAUCGAGGACAGUACAGUAGCUAUCCCAUCAAGCUAUUCUACACAUCGAAUAUUCCCAUAAUCCUCCAGUCUGCCCUAGUUUCAAACUUGUAUGUCAUUUCCCAGAUGCUGUCUGUUCGAUUUAGUGGCAACUUCUUAGUAAACUUACUAGGACAGUGGGCCGAUGUCAGUGGGGGAGGACCUGCUCGUUCUUACCCUGUUGGAGGCCUUUGUUACUACCUAUCUCCUCCUGAGUCCAUGGGUGCCAUAUUUGAGGAUCCUGUCCAUGUGGUUGUGUACAUCAUCUUCAUGUUGGGAUCAUGUGCAUUCUUUUCUAAGACAUGGAUAGAAGUGUCUGGUUCCUCAGCCAAAGAUGUGGCUAAGCAGCUUAAAGAGCAGCAGAUGGUGAUGAGAGGCCACAGAGAUACCUCCAUGGUCCACGAGCUGAACAGCAUUGGACUGUACAUGGGAAACUGCUCCUGGAAGGUUCCGAGUCCGCCUUGACCCUGGACCCAGCUGCAGACAUACUGAGCUGGCCGACCUCGUCAUGCUGAGAGUGCUGCUAGUGAACUGCAAGACAACAAUCCCUGAGCUGUUGAAAGCUACAGUAACCAGACAAGAGCGGAGUUCCUCAGAUCAAGGAUGUGCUCCCACAACACUGGCAGAACUCUUGGUGAUGAGCGUUAGGUCCUCCAACUUGCUCUCGUGCAGAAGGGCAGUUCACUCCCUGAUGGAGAAUAACCCUCCUUUUUUAAUUUGGGGGAAGGGGCAAUGAACACUGGCUUACUGAGGAGCCCCUGCUGACCUGCGUCUCGUCUCACAAUCCUGCCUCAGCUCUGGCCGACUAGAAUUACACUGUACGUGGCUGGAGACCAGUCUAAAUCCCUGGCUCCUCUCUGCCUGACUCCAUAAGGAACUCCUGCUUCAUUCAUGUCCAAGACAAUGACACCUGCCAAGCAAUACGAACCUGGAGAACACUCAGCGACAUCACCUUUGUAGCCGGUCUCUUCCUCUAGCUCCCGGAGAGCGGCUGCUUCUGGGCUCUCACCAUCAUCGAUGAGCCCUGGAGGACAGGAGGAAGCCAGAGUUCUCUGAACAGUUUUCUCACAGUGGAAGUCACAGUGACCCUUACAUCCCGAGCAGGCUACGAAAACUACCUCGGCCCAGCAAUGAAGAGCCAGGAGGGAGUGCCCGUACGGCCAUAUGAGGAACAGAUAGACCAAACAGGGAAAGUUAUAACUCAGGUUCAUUUUCCUGAAUGGUAUACAACCAUGUAAAGAACAAGUAAAAUGUAGGUUCAAUUUUUAAAUCACUUUUGGUGUUAUUAACUUAAUGAAAUGGCAAGUGAGAAAGAAAAGAGCUAACUAUAUAUUAGUGUGAACUGGGCUUUCCCACCUCAGUCCUGGGAAUGGGGCACAGAGCUUUGUGCAUGCUGGGUAAACACUGUACCUAAAUCCUACUGGGCUUCAUAAACCUGGCUGUAAAGUAUACCACUUUCCAUAAAUACAUGGGGUUUAUUCAUUCCUUCAUAUGGGUACAGUCCGAUAAAUUGCUAUAAUACUGUGUAUCCAAUUCUGGAUGGCUUCUUUAAUUACAAUGAAUCUAAAAAAUACCUCUGAUAAAAAUCAAGAAUUUU